UUAGCAUAUAAAUUUUGAAAAUACACAUCACUAUCUAGUUUAAUAAACAAUGGAAUGAUUACAGAUUACAAAUGAUUCACCACAAGAAUUGGAGCUCUGUUGCUAGAAAGUGUUCUCUUUAGACAAACCAAAAGGAAGAAGACGAAUGGCUGGCAAGUUCGGUUUGCAAAACUUGAGCAUGUUACCAUUGGAUGCUCGAAGAUCUUCGCAUCGUCUUCUAUGAGAAAUGUGGCAGAUUUUCAGGAGUUAUUUUACUUCUUAGCUGAAUGGAUUGGCUAACUCUAAUAAAGAACCAUAUCAAUCUUCACUUGAACCACUGCCAAGUGGUUCUCUCCUUAUCAUGUUGAGCAAGUCCUGAACAACCGACGACAUUGGUGGCCGGAAUUCAGGCUCCGACUGAACACAUUUUGAUAUGAUAUCGGCAAAGUACGAUAAGGAUUUGGCAGGGUAUUGACCAUUGAGUGAAGGAUCAACCAUGCUUGUCAAUGCCUCUAUGUCGUGAAGCUGUGGAAUCGCCCACCUGACUAGGAACUGCUCACCUCGGGUCCUUGUUCUGUCAUAAGACAUCCGGCCAGUUAGAAGUUCCAGCAUAACCACACCGAAGCUGUAAACGUCACUCUCAAGUGUAUAAACUCCUGAUUCAAAUUCUGGCGCUCCGUAACCAUAUGCUGUCAGAAGCUGACCAGAUAGCUGACUAACAGCUCCUUUUGAUAUUAAUGGAGCCAGCCCACAAUCUGAAACACGCACUGAAAGAUCAUCAUCAAG
rnacentral:misc_RNA from 1 species